UUCUGCAGGGCUGUCUUGGAGCCUGUCUGCCUUUUGGGGGGGCUGUACUAUCUCAUUCGUUGAAGAGCUGAGGCUGGGGGCUCCUUUUCCUCUUAAAGUCGCCAGAUUCUGGGCAGAGUCGCAUGGGGGGCCUAUAUGGCAGCGGUGGCUCUUCUAGAAGUUCUGAGCUGGGGUUGGGUUCGAGGGUUUCUGUUCUGUGGUCAUCCAGGGCAGGAGGCUGGCAGGAUGCGACCCGGAGAAAUGCUACUCUCCCGGACCGUGGGGCCAGUAGCCCCAAGUGCCCUGCAUUUGCUCUUCUAACAAAGUUCUGUUUGUUGACGGACUGACCGGCUUACCGACACAAAGAUGGGAAGCAAAUGGAGAGACGGAUCAAGGCCCUUCCUCGGCAUCUGGAGGAAGCUUGGGCGAGUGUCUUGGUCGCCAGGUAAACCCAUUCUCCAGCCCUCAAGGCUGCCUUGCACAGCUCCAGUCUUUUCACUUACCCUGUCCCAACACAAACCCCGGUAGCAUCCACACCCCACACAUCUUCGCUGCACUUUCUCACUUUGCUUGCCAGAUUGUGGGCCCUGCCUAGUCUCCCUCUGAUAAAAGGCGGGAUCUGUCGGCACCCUAAAGCCUUACUGCAAACCGCGUGUGAAAUACACUCUCAAGUUCUCUUGGUGUUUGCCUGGGAUGAAAAAAAAUGUUUCUGCGAAAACUAAGUGGUGGAGAAUGAGCGACUCUAGGCUUUCGAAUUGCAUGUUACUAAUUUGAACCCCUGACCCACCCUCCCCGUCAGCCCCGGCUUGGCUCGGGAGCAGGUCUGGCAACAGCGGCAGCUUCUCCGCUGCAGGCUCCGGAUCCGGGAGGUGUGGAUCCGCCCUCCAUCUAUUGGAUGGCUCCCAGGCCAAUUGUUAGAAAGAGGCAUAUGUUCAUCUCGGCUUCUGGAGUGUCUCCGGAGCAGUUGCUCAACAGCCAGCCCCCUCCCCCAUCCGGACCAUUGAAGGGCAGAAAAAGGAGCGCCCUCCACCACAUUUCUCUGUGCCCACAUGCCAGAAAGGGUCUCCCCCCUGGUGACUUCCUGUCAUCUCCACUGCUUACCUCCUGGGGAGCAGGAACGAGAGGGGCUUCAAGCACUCAGCUUUGAAGCACAAAAGCCACCCCUUUCCUUUUUGGGGAGAUGGGAGAGGAGGUUAGUUGCAGAGGCUGAGAGGGAGCAAAGGAGACAUUUGCAUUUCUCGGCAAAAAUGCUCUGAUCACUGACUUCCCCGUUGGCUCCAGCAGAGCUCAGAGCUCUCCGCUGAACUCUUAUCUCCAACUUGGCAACUAGACCGCGAGCUUGCGAAGCAAGGAGAGGACAGGGAUGGUCACCUACCGAGAACCUCUGUGCUCCAGCGCUGGGCCUGGCAUGUUCCCCAUCCAUCAUCUCAUUUAAUUCCCAGGACAGCCCUUUGAGGUAGGGUUUACCAAAGGUGAAUGAAACAGAGCCUCGGGAAAUUGCCCAAGUUCACAUAGCCACGUGGCUGAGUGUUUGAAUCUGGAUCAGGCUGUCUGCAAAGUUUUUACCCUCAGCCCUAAUCCCCGCUGCCUAGGAGGGUAAGGAGGCUGUCUAGAGUGCAGGUUCAGGGGUCAGUAGGCCUGGGUUUAAAUUCCUACUUUGCCAUUUGUUAGCGGUGAAGUCUUAGGCCAAUGGCUUCAUGCUUUGGUCUUCAAUUUUCCCAUCUGUUAAAUGGGGAUAACAAUGGUACCUAAUCUGUGGGGGUUGCUUAGCCUGAUUGGUGCCCGCAGUGUAGUAAAUGGCCAAUAAAUGCUGUUAUCGUACUGGACCUUCUGAUUAUUUUCCUUUUGCCUCCCGU
rnacentral:lncRNA from 10 species